GGCAAAUUAUGUUUAGUCACAUAGACUCAGACAAGUUUGUAAUAGGAAGAUAUUUUUGUUCGUAGAUGCUGUGUCUGCUCCAGGUGUAAACCGAACCACCAGAAGCGUGCAAAACCAAAGCUUUCUGAGCCCCGGUGUAGUUAUUCUGGACAAGUUUCCAGCACGUGUGGAGAACACUACACCGUACACACAUCAGGACUAUAAAAAAAACAGUCGCUUUAGUCACAGAGAAGCAUGACGAUUUAGACCUCUGAAGUAGGUGUGAAUGGAAUUGAAGGGCUUACAUGGAGGAUUCUGAAUUCCCUUCCUUCCUGCUCCAGGAAAGACGGGAGAGGCAGAUGGAUCAUUCUUUACCAGCUGCCAAGGCCAAUACUGCUGUAUAGCCCUUGCUCUCAGCAACGUCCUCAGUGUCCUGGUGAUGGGGUGCCUUGUAAGGACUGUGCAGAUCAAGCUUCAUACUACCUUUGCACUUCAGGCUCUCUGUGCUGCAUAAAGCUGCACCGUUCAGAAGAAGCAAGACUGUCUUUCCUUACAGCUACGAUGCUGCACCGCUUUCGACACAGCGUGCUUUUCCCCGCGUUUACCUGGGCGGCUGCUGCUCUUUCUGCUGCUGCUGGGGCUGCUGCAGUCUUGCUGCCUGCGCUUCACCCUGGCUUAACUGACUCGAAACUCUCCCGUCUGCACAUUGCUAAGGAAGAAGAACGAUGGAGCCGCAUUUUUUUUUUUUGUUGGCUCUGGAAGCAAAGGGUUGCGAUAUGCGAUGAUUUGGGGAUUUUCUUUGGUGGGGGGGAAGGAGGAGAAAAGAAGGGUGUUAAUCUAGGAUGGGGUGGGUGA
rnacentral:lncRNA from 1 species